AAAAUAAUAAAAUCAAAUAAAAACCUGUACGUAGCGAUAUGAUUCAGUCAUAAAUCUUUAUUUUAUAUUCUCAGCCUGUUUUCAAUUACAAUUCCGUCAUGUAUUCCAUUCACAUUUGUGUUUGUUUUUAUAUGCUGUUUCAUCUCUGCUGCAGCUGCCAUAGAGGUUUUAAAUUUCCGACAGAAAACCUUGAAAUUCAAUUUAAAACUACACCUAAAAUUAAUUGGGAUAGACGUAGUAGAUAUAAGGAAAUUAUAUCCAAAAUAAAUGAAGUAACAAGGACAUACAAGGCAAAAGAACCAACGAAUUAUGUUGACAGAUACUAUUUAUCUGGUAUUCCAAAAAUCAUUAGGAUAAUCAAUAAAAACGAUAUGCGAAGGAAUAAUGCUGAAAACCAUAAUUUGAGUAGCAUUCCCAAAAUUAUUCAAAUGCCUGGUAAGCAUAUAGCUACAGACGAUUUAAUAAAACAAUUUGAAUUGAAAAAUAAAAAAGUUGAACCUAUAUUAAGGCUAAAAGAAAAAGUUAUAGCAGGAAACAGCACAAUUCAUAAGAAAAUUGAUACAACAGAUGAUAAGUUGGGAAAUAUGACUGUUAAAAACAAUAAUCCUAAUCCAAAAGCAAUGAAUGUCAUUCAAAGUAAAAUAAAGAAGAAUAACUUUACUGAAAAUAAUAAUAAACAUUCAACUCAGUUACAGGAAAAGAAACCUGAUAAAUUCUAUGAGGAUCUUUCAAAAAUUAUUCAAACUAUGAGGACGAAUAUCAAAAACUAUGAAAUACUUAGUCAGCAAAAAACUCUCAACACUAAUUUCGAUGAUAUAAAGAAUGAUAAUAUUCAUAACGAUAUGAAAAGAAACCACCCAGGUCAGAAUAUAGAUAUAGAAAAUACUAAUAUUAAUAAAACUGAGACAAAUAAUCUUGCCUCUAAUUUUGAUACGCUUAAAAAUUUUAAUACUAGCCUAAAUGAUUCCAGACCGAAAGCUUUUAAAUUUAUAAUCAUGAAUGCUAAAAACGGAAGUGUAAGAAACCCACUUAUACAUACAGAUAAUGAAGAAAACCAUAGUGGAAACGUAAUCCCACAGAUACAGACGAGAAUAAACAAUGAUUUAGUCAAAAAAAGUUUCGAUGAAUUCAAAAUGGUGAGACGCAAAACGCAUUUUACGUUACCAGAGUUUGAUUUUAAUGCUGACAAACGGUAUAAACCUGAUGAAUACCAAGAUUCAAAUAGAUAUAAAACUAAGAAUAAUAUCAUCAAUGAAAUAAGACCUAGGUAUACAGGAGGUUAUACUGAUGAUUAUUACACGGAAGGCGAAGAAAUACAAACUGAUAUGGACCGCAAAAACUACCCAACGUCCGCUGAAAAAUCGCAGAUAAUGGAUUUGCUUCGUAAGCAAGCGAAUGUUAUGGAGAAAACUUAUUUAGACUUUGAUGAAAUGUUAAACAUGCUUUCUACAAAACAGGAGAUGAAGAAAAUGUGUAGUUUUACAGAAUUUACUUUCGAAACUACGACUGUUUCGACUAAAUUAACGACGACUAAAACGCCGUCGACUAAAAGGCCGUCGACUGUCCUGACUCUUUUUGACGAAACUGAAAUUAGGACGGCGCUGAAAAAUGACCCGCAAGUGAAAAGGAUUUUGAAAAUCGCCAAUUUGAAACGGGAGAAGUAUUUGAAAAACGUUAGAGGGGAUUUAGAAAAUAAUUAAAUAUUUACAAUGUUA